CAGACCGCCAUCCCCCGCAACGCCCCUCCCCUCACGAUCGCGCAGACACCUUUUCGCCACCGCCCCGUCCUGAAUCUCGCCCCCCGCCGUGGAUCUCGCGCCAGCCAUGCUCGCCAAUCUCGGCUAUGCCCGCCAAUUUCGGCUAGCCCCCGUUGUACCCUCGCUUACCCUCGCACCCUCUCACACAUGCGCAUGGAAGUAGCCUCCUCGUGUUGGAAUAAAGGCCCCCCUCGCUCUGGAAGGAAGGCCCAUUCGUGCUGGAGGAAUCCUCGCCCAAAAUCCAUAGCUGUCGCACCACCUUCCAUCCUUGGCAGUUGGCACCCCCUUCGGCAGCGCCCCCCUUCUAGCCCCCUUCCAACUUUGACGCCCGCGUCAGACGGACAACGCACGAUGCAAGCCCGAGACCCCUCCCUCCCCACGCCGCCACCCACCAUGCCCUCUCCCUCCCCUCACAGCCGUCCCUCUCCCCACCCCCUGGCCCCACCGCACUAAACAGCAGCGACACACCCGUCCCUACCCCAAGGAAUCAAGAGGUCAAUCCCCCUGUGCUUCGACCAUUCUGGACCGUAUGAGUAAAGAUUCCAUUGCGAAGGAGGUGGCGGAGGCGCAAUCGGUACUAACAGUGGACGCCGUGUCUGCUGUAUUGUCAAGUUAGCUGCUCUCUCGUGCCCUCUGCAAUGUUUCCCUACCUCUUUGUUGUACGUGCCUUUGUAGCCCUAUGUACUGCCAUGAAAUGUUGGGCUCGUCGUCGUUGUAGACAUCGUGUGUGGUUUUUUGUGUGUUUGGAAUCAUCUCUGGUGUUCUUCUUGAUUCAUGCCCCCUGACUGCUUUGUCUGGCAGACGACAAGCAGGGAUGGUGCCUUAUCUUCUUUACAGCCUAACGAAUGAUGGUUUUGAGGUCAUUGUCUAAUUAGGUUUAAUCUUGGACUAAUCCAGUAAUAUUUGUUUGCCAUUGUUGAAUCGAAUACUGCUCUUUCCAUUCCCCAUCGUUUGGUGUGUUUAGACUGUAUGUGUUGGGUGAAUGGUGCCCAAAGUUUAUGAGACAUGGAAUGAGUACAAAUAAUCUGGUUGUUGUUUUUUCCAGGGUAAUUUUUCAAUAACACAUCGGGAGAUUAUUUUAUGAUGGCAUGUGGUGCAUGGUCAAACGGGUAAUGCAUGGUGCAGAUUCCAUCGGGAGUUCCACAUCUAUGUGUGCAAUCUUUUUGACACAAGACGUGUAUAUGUAAAUUAGGUCCAAUAAUACCAUGAUUCAGAUUUAGUUGUGUCAAGGCGUUUAGGAAAAAAAUGUCCCUGCUCAUCCAUAGGACCAAAAAUCGUUUCCAGGAUACUAUUUCGCUUUGGUUAGAUAGCUGGUCCAUGUAAUCUUCCUUUUCCUUUACCUCCUUUUCCUUGUCCAUGUUUGUAAAUACUUUCCUUUAUUUAUAAUUUAACCUGGUAGGGGUCUAUCUUUUAUGCCUAAACUUGACACUUCCUUCAGUUUUAACUGUUUUUUAAUCGAAGUAACCCCAUUUCCAUUCACAGAACGGAAAUACAAGUGAGAAAGAUAUUACAUACUAAUUUAAAGUUUCAUGUUCAUCGCCUCCUGAAAUGCUGCCAUAGAUGUUGCUUGUCCACUGGUCCAGCCAGUUCAGCAUUGAAGUACUCCUAGCACUGAUUUUUUUCUUUACCUGUCAUAUGUCAGAAACUUUUCAUGCAAAACAAGGAGCGGCUCGUUCAUGUCCUGAAGGGGAUUACGGUCGGAAUAGAGAAGUGCCAAGCGACACCACUAUCUCAGGAAGUGUUGAUUGUAUGGGGAGACCACAACCAGUUGUUCCUGGUGGAGGCGUUUGCAGUUCAUAGGACUCUGAAUUGGAGCGCUAGACUGGAGGUCAUAUAGAAGACAAGCCAUGUUCCUCAGCUGGAGGAUUCGACUUGCUUCAACAAGGUCAUCCUGGACUUUCUCAAAAAGCCUAAUCUGUCGGUUAAUGGUAGCUCGCAAUAAGGACAAAGGUCUCGUCGGAGAUAAGGAGAGGAUCUGCAUUUGACACCAAUAUGCGGAACCUCGUGCCCCUGCCUCUUUUGGCUCCUCCUUCUGCCCUGUCCGAGCGAUGGUGCCCAGAAACAAAGGUGAAGAGCAGAUAGCCCAGGAGGAGGUCUACUACGAGGAGUACGAGCUUGUUUAGGUGGCGUCUCCCAGUCAGCUUUAUGGCGCCAAGAAAUAAUUAUUAGUUUGCUUUAUUAUUAUUAUUUAUUUUUGUAAGACACUUCUGCAAUGU